GAGGUCCGUAGUACAUUUAGACUUGAAUUAGAGAAAAUGGAUUUGGUUGAUAAGUGAGAUUUGGUAUAGGGGCCGGAAUGGAAUUCCGGGAGUUUUAGUAAGUCCGUUGUGUCAUUUGGGACGUGUGUGCAAAAUUUCAGGUCAUUCGGAUGUAGUUUGAUAAAUUCAUUGAUCAAAAGCGAAAUUCGGAAGAAUUUGGAACCUUA
rnacentral:lncRNA from 1 species